UGUAAGUAAAUUAUAUAGGUAUGUCGAAAGCAGGGCCCCGAGAGCCGAUUCACGGCCCGGGACUGUUCAGCACUUCGGGCCCUACUAACCUUUCAAAAAAUGUUUGAUACACCAAAUAAUAAUUAUAUGUAAAAAUGUCUAAAAGUUUAUUUCCAUAGGUAAAAAACCUUACAAAAAUUUAAAAAAAAAACGAAAACAAAUUCAUUUUAUAUACGUAAGUGUGCAUACGAAUAAAAACAAACACAACAAAAAUUAAAUAAAAUCAUUUUUAUUGCAAUGGCGCUUUUCGCGAUUUGCGACUUGCAAAUAGUUCUAUAACGCGGUCAAAAUUGCACCAAGUCGGAUGUGCGACCCUGAUUCAUCGUCGAGCUUAAAUCGUUCUUUAUUCUAGCUAGGCAACUAAACGAACGUUCUGUUGAAGCAACUGUCACAGGUAUGGUGCAGAAUAGUCUUACAGCUAUAACAACAUUCGGAAACAAGGCUUCAAAUUUUAAAGAAUGUAUUUUAUUUAAAAGUUCUAGAGGUGGAAGUUUUUCAAUGCCAAAAUUUGCCUGGUAUAUUGCAUUUAAAUGCAGCAGUUCUUCCUGAAGUUGAGGGCCUAUAUCUUCAAGAAUCGACAAAGGUCCAAAGGAUGCAAAAUAAACUAGUGAUCUUCUGUACGGCAUUAAAUCGUGUAGAUAAUCCAACAAUAACGUUAUCUAGCAGUACGUGCGGCGCGUCUGGGUCCAUCCGGGCCCCCAGACCGACCGGGCCCCGGGAAUUAGUCCCGUCUGCCCCCCCCCUCUUGUCGGGCCUGGUCGAAAGUAUACAAUACCCUUACCCUUUGUGGGAUCCCUAAUACAUUUUUGGCAUGCAGGGCCGCAGGGGAACAUGACAGUCUAUGUCUCCGGCAACUGGACCGAAGGGUCUCGCAGCCACACCUGUCCAGAGCACCGACUGCUUUUCAUACCUGUGGCAGCUUGGACCACAGAAUCAUCCAGUGUCUGACUUCAAGCGUCAAUCUCCAUCCUUCAGGACUUGUGGAGUUUCCCUUUAUCUGGUUUGCACAGUCCCAGUGUGACCAUCAGCGACAUACGCCGUUCUCUUUGUGUCCAAUGCAGCACGAGUUGGGGGAAUUGAAGCAAGAUCGCUUAUCUUCUGAAGAUUUCUUGUUUUCGUGAAAAAUUAUCUUUGCUCUGAUUCUGUGCGGACACCAUACAGUUUUACUGUGAAUUUUUCCGCGUUCGCGUAUACUGUAGGAUUAAUUUCAGCUUGGGGGUUGAAAAUCACAUUAAAGGCGGUAACGCGGUAGUAAAAGUAUCAUUUUUUUGCAGUAAAGGCAAGCGUUCUGUGCGGGCAGCAUGGGACGAAUCCUUUACUAUUGCCUUUAAGGAAAUUUCCAACCUCAUGACUUUACAUAGGUACACUUAUACAUACUCUGUAUGUGGUUUAACAAGUGCAAAAUGUGCAAGAUGAAGGAACCAAUGAAUAAAGAACACACUGGGUAUAUACCUUAAGGCGGGUCUCCACCCAACUGGGCUAAGCCGGCGGCUUCUCCGCCCUUGCCGCCAACACAACAUGCCGCGGCUUGCUGCGAAUUUGACGCGGACUUAAAUUCAACUCCACCACACUGGGCAGAUGUAUCAGCUUGCAGAAAGUACUUAUUCUUCAUCCGAGAUUGUUUGACUACGACGAAAUUUUUUUGUUAAGGUCCUAAAAAUUGUUAUCAAGCAACAAAUAAGAGGAAGCACAUGUUUUAGGUACGGCCUCGGGCCUAGUUUAAACAAAAAUCUUCGUUGUGAAAAACAAAAUACAAACUCAAAUUUCAGAGAAAAGCAAACAAAAGACAAAUAUACCACGUAAACAACGUGAACGUACCGUUUGACACAAAUACGCAAAACUGACUGAAAACACACGUUUGCACUUGUUCAGAUAAGGCUCUCUAAAUGUGAGUAAGCUCGGUCGCCAUAUUGGACCCAGCCAAUGGAGGGAGUUGCCUUGUCAGCUGGUGAAUGUUUACUAAACGUUGCUCUGUUUUUAUAAAUUUUCAUGGUUGUAUUGCCAUUUUCGUUCUUUCGGAGUAUAAAUAUUGCUUGUGUAGUGCCGAAUUGGUGUAGUUAUAUAUCAACGUGCGGUAGGAAGACGAAUUAAUAAGUAUUUACUUCAAUUCUGUUACAUUAAUUUAAUAAGAUUAUCAAGAAAGCAUUUUAAAAAUGCCCUGCUGUGCAGCUCCAAAUUGCAGUAACCGAUCUGAGAAACGGUAUACAGUCUAUACCGAAUCCCAGCAGAUGAGCCUCGGCGGUCGAAGUGGGUGCAAAACAUGAGACGAGAUCGAGGACCUGAUAAAUGGCAACCAACUACAGGUUCACGUAUUUGUGAGGUACAUUUUGAAGAGGAUCAGUUUGAGACCUGCCGAAAGGACAAAUUGAAGAAACUGAAACCCAAUGCAGUGCCCACAUUAUUCGAUGUGCCAAAUCCUCCCCCAAGGAUUACUCCUUUACCUAGGAAAUCAUUGUACAAGGA